AACGAACGCUGGCGGCAGGCUUAACACAUGCAAGUCGAGCGCGUAGCAAUACGAGCGGCAGACGGGUGAGUAACACGUGGGAAUCUACCUUUUGCUACGGAACAACUCCGGGAAACUGGAGCUAAUACCGUAUGUGCCCUUUGGGGGAAAGAUUUAUCGGCAAGAGAUGAGCCCGCGUCGGAUUAGCUAGUUGGUGGGGUAAAGGCCUACCAAGGCGACGAUCCGUAGCUGGUCUGAGAGGAUGAUCAGCCACACUGGGACUGAGACACGGCCCAGACUCCUACGGGAGGCAGCAGUGGGGAAUAUUGGACAAUGGGGGCAACCCUGAUCCAGCCAUGCCGCGUGAGUGAUGAAGGCCCUAGGGUUGUAAAGCUCUUUCACCGGUGAAGAUAAUGACGGUAACCGGAGAAGAAGCCCCGGCUAACUUCGUGCCAGCCGCCGCGGUAAAAC
rnacentral:rRNA from 1 species